CGUGGCCUCGCGUCAGAGCGCGGCGGUUCCGCCCCGCUUCUUUGCGUGCAGCCUGGCUGCCGAAGACUCAAGAAACCCGGAGUGGCCCCAGGCUGGAGUCGGAACGCGGUUGGUCGAGGCUGGGCGCUGAUACUUGUGGCUCUCCUGUUCCCGGUGGCUCUUCCGUUGUCAUAUUUAGCACACAAAAGUACAAAAUGUCUACUGUUCCUGUUGGAUAGCUGAUCACAGCAACACAAAUGAAUGAAUCCAGACUCCUGGAUCAGCUGACUGUGGUCUGAGAUCACGGAAAAGUCACUUACUCAGGGUCAUCCUGAAAGUCCUGGGGCUCUGCCAGUUCAUCAUACUCUGCUGCUGCAUCCUUGCCAGCUAGGAUGAGCUCCUUGGGAGGCACCACCACCUGAGAGCAAAAGAGGAGCCUGCUUCAGAAGAGAUGGGCUGCAGCAGCACCUUCUAGACAGAGCAUGAAGGCAAAGAGCCAGAGAGGCUGCUGCUCAUCGGUGCAUAGAAGAGGACCCCAUAGAAGAAGGGCUAUGGUACAGAAGAACCUAUGGACUCCUGGUACUGAUUCAUACAUCUAAAUCAAUAGAAAAGUUCCUACUGGCAACAAGAAAAAACUUCCUAUGGUAUCCAGUAUCAUCAUAUUUCUUUUCCCAUGUUUCUAACUUUACAGAAUGUGCAGCCUGUUUCUUACACAUCCAACAUGUUGUUGGCAAGAAUCCCAGUUUAAAGAAACAAAGUCUCAAUGUCUUUAUCAUUUCACAUUGUCCUUGCCCUGCGCCUUCUUUCCAGGAUCCUAUUCUACACACAUAGCCACCCACAUACAGAUGUGCAAAGGCCACUGACUUAUCAAGUCUGUGUGUCAAUAAGUGCAGUACUAACCUUCAUGUAGCGAAGGUUGGGGAUUGACAUGAUUCUCACUUCUGGAAUAUAAUUGCUAUUGAUAAAUAAAAACAUGUAUUAAUGUUCAGUGGAGUCUUUUGAAAUUAAUAUUUACCUUAAUAAAACCUCACACACAUAAACUAGUGCUACAAAUAAUGUUAACUAGAAUACAUUAACAGAAAAUGAAGAACUGUAUUACCAUAGUAAGAGAAGAGCCAUGAAAACAAAUUAGCAAUUACUUCUGUCUGAAAUUUUAGGAGUUGAGCCUGUAUGUAUAGAGAGCUGGCUUAGGGCUUACAGUUGUGUGUAUCACAACAUAUGCUUUCCUUAUAAAUUUACUUUGGGGGAAUUUCACUUAAUUCACUUAACAAGGUACUGGUUACAAGAUCCAAUCUUAAUAGCUAACAUUCUAUAUGGCUGUAAGCAUGAAUACAUUCUUACCAUACACAGUGCUCCCUGUGUGCCAGGCAAUAUUCUAAGUACUGUACAAGUGCUCACCAGAGUGUUCAAUCCAACCUGUGAGACAGGCAUGACUUCUGCUACCUCGUUACAAAAGAGGAGAUGCUGGGGGAUGUACAGAUGUCUCAGAGGUUAAGAACACUGGCUAUUCUUCCAAGGUGCUGAGUUCAAUUCUCAGUCAACCACUUGGUGGCUCACAACUAUCUAUAAGAGAUCUGGUGCCCUCUUCUGACAUGUAGACAGAACACUGUGUACAUGAUAAAUAAAAAUCUUAAAGAAAAAAGGAGCUGCUAGGCGUGGUCAGGUGUAGUGCCAGCACUACAAAUCCAGGCACUCUAUAGUAUUUUGCUCUUGCUUUCAAAAUACAAGCUGCUUGAAUGUUUGUCUGGACUCAAAAUUGCCCAGGUUCAAAUGCCUGCUCAGUAUUUAUAGACCAACAUAUCACUUUGUAAAAACAGUGGUUUGAAUGAAAAUGGCCCCACAGGCUCAUGUGUUUGAAUGCCUGCUCUGUAGUUGGUGGAAUUGUUUGGAAAGGUUGAGGAGGUAUGGCCUUGUUGGAGGUGUCAACAGAGGCAGGAGUUUAGGCUUUAAAAGCCCACACCAAUGCCAGUUAGCUCUCUCUCUCUCUACCCUAUGGAUAAGGAUGUAAGAUUGCCAGCUACCUAUGGUGGUGCAAGCCUUUAAUCCCAGCACUCAGGAGACAGAGGGAGAUGGAAUUCUGUGAGUUAAAGGCCAGCCUGGUCUACAUAGUUCCAGGACAGCUAGAGCUAGAAUAAGACCCUGUCUCAACCUCCCACCCCCAAAAGGAUGUAAACUCUUGGCUAUUGCUCCAGCACCAUGCCAUUCCCAUACUCUUUUGCUAGUUCUUGCUUGCUGUUUAUGAUGUGAAACCUCAGCUGUUCCUACUGCUAUGUCUUUGUUCUGCUAUCAUGGACUCUAAUGCUGUGAAACCAUAGCAUAAGCCCAAUUAAAUGAUUUCUUUUAUAA